UCCGGAGGAUCCAAGCGUUAUCCGGAAUCAUUGGGUUUAAAGGGUCCGUAGGCGGUUUUGUAAGUCAGUGGUGAAAGCCCAUCGCUCAACGGUGGAACGGCCAUUGAUACUGCAAGACUUGAAUUAUUAGGAAGUAACUAGAAUAUGUAGUGUAGCGGUGAAAUGCUUAGAUAUUACAUGGAAUACCAAUUGCGAAGGCAGGUUACUACUAAUGGAUUGACGCUGAUGGACGAAAGCGUGGGGAGCGAACAGG
rnacentral:rRNA from 1 species